GAUGAACGCUGGCGGCGUGCCUAAUACGUGCAAGUCGAGCGAACAGAUAAGGAGCUUGCUCCUUUGACGUUAGCGGCGGACGGGUGAGUUACACGUGGAUAACCUACCUAUAAGACUGGGAUAACUUCGGGAAACCGGAGCUAAUACCGGAUAACAUAUUGAACCGCAUGGUUCAAUAGUGAAAGGCGGCUUUGCUGUCACUUAUAGAUGGAUCCGCGCCGUAUUAGCUAGUUGGUAAGGUAACGGCUUACCAAGGCAACGAUACGUAGCCGACCUGAGAGGGUGAUCGGCCACACUGGAACUGAGACACGGUCCAGACUCCUACGGGAGGCAGCAGUAGGGAAUCUUCCGCAAUGGGCGAAAGCCUGACGGAGCAACGCCGCGUGAGUGAUGAAGGUCUUCGGAUCGUAAAACUCUGUUAUCAGGGAAGAACAAAUGUGUAAGUAACUGUGCACAUCUUGACGGUACCUGAUCAGAAAGCCACGGCUAACUACGUG
rnacentral:rRNA from 1 species